CCUCACUUUCAUUACGCCAAGGGGUUUUGCUUGCACCCUCUGACUUGCACGCGAGUCAGACGGUGCAAGCAAACCCCCGUGACGCAAUGAAAGUGAGGGCCGGCGCGCGCCGGCUGAGGUGGGAUCCCGGCCAGCGGGGUCGGGCGCAGCGCCGACCCGUCUCGCGACGGGUGGAGCGUGAGCGAAAGGACCCAAAAGAUGCUGAUGAAAGGUUAACGUCGUGCUGCUGUAAAGUGGUAUCGGUGCCGUUGUAUCGGAGCUG